CACCCCUCAGGCCCAGCCUGGCGUUGGGGCGCUGCGCGAGAGCGCAGGCCCUCAAGUACAGUGGCGAGCCGGCCGGGAACCCGAGCGUAGUAACACUCUUCGCCCUGGGACCCCGGGCGACCUCCGCCGUUAAACGAGACGCGAGAGCGCCUUCCACAA
rnacentral:misc_RNA from 1 species